UACGUAGGGUGCGAGCGUUGUCCGGAAUUACUGGGCGUAAAGAGCUUGUAGGCGGUUUGUCGCGUCGUCCGUGAAAACCAGUGGCUUAACCAUUGGCUUGCGGGCGAUACGGGCAGACUUGGGUAUUGCAGGGGAGACUGGAAUUCCUGGUGUAGCGGUGAAAUGCGCAGAUAUCAGGAGGAAUACCGGUGGGGAAGACGGCUCUCUGGACCGCCACUGACGCUGAGACACGAAAGCGUGGGUAGCAAACAGG
rnacentral:rRNA from 1 species